rnacentral:rRNA from 1 species
CGAACGCUGGCGGCGUGCUUAACACAUGCAAGUCGAACGGUGAAGCCCAGCUUGCUGGGUGGAUCAGUGGCGAACGGGUGAGUAACACGUGAGUAACCUGCCCCUGACUCUGGGAUAAGCCUUGGAAACGAGGUCUAAUACCGGAUACGUGACGCUCAGGCAUCUGAUGCGUCUGGAAAGAUUUAUCGGUCAGGGAUGGACUCGCGGCCUAUCAGCUUGUUGGUGGGGUAACGGCCCACCAAGGCGACGACGGGUAGCCGGCCUGAGAGGGCGACCGGCCACACUGGGACUGAGACACGGCCCAGACUCCUACGGGAGGCAGCAGUGGGGAAUAUUGCACAAUGGGCGCAAGCCUGAUGCAGCGACGCCGCGUGAGGGAUGAAGGCCUUCGGGUUGUAAACCUCUUUCAGCAGGGAAGAAGCGCAAGUGACGGUACCUGCAGAAGAAGCGCCGGCUAACUACGUGCCAGCAGCCGCGGUAAUACGUAGGGCGCAAGCGUUGUCCGGAAUUAUUGGGCGUAAAGAGCUCGUAGGCGGUUUGUCGCGUCUGCUGUGAAAACUCGAGGCUCAACCUCGGGCUUGCAGUGGGUACGGGCAGACUAGAGUGCGGUAGGGGAGACUGGAAUUCCUGGUGUAGCGGUGGAAUGCGCAGAUAUCAGGAGGAACACCGAUGGCGAAGGCAGGUCUCUGGGCCGCAACUGACGCUGAGGAGCGAAAGCAUGGGGAGCGAACAGGAUUAGAUACCCUGGUAGUCCAUGCCGUAAACGUUGGGCACUAGGUGUGGGGCUCAUUCCACGAGUUCCGUGCCGCAGCAAACGCAUUAAGUGCCCCGCCUGGGGAGUACGGCCGCAAGGCUAAAACUCAAAGAAAUUGACGGGGGCCCGCACAAGCGGCGGAGCAUGCGGAUUAAUUCGAUGCAACGCGAAGAACCUUACCAAGGCUUGACAUACACCGGAAACU